rnacentral:rRNA from 1 species
AACGAACGCUGGCGGCAGGCCUAACACAUGCAAGUCGAGCGCCCUUUCGGGGGAGCGGCGGACGGGUGAGUAACGCGUGGGAAUAUGCCCUUCUCUACGGAAUAGCCUCGGGAAACUGAGAGUAAUACCGUAUACGCCCUGUGGGGGAAAGAUUUAUCGGGGAAGGAUUAGCCCGCGUUGGAUUAGGUAGUUGGUGGGGUAAUGGCCUACCAAGCCGACGAUCCAUAGCUGGUUUGAGAGGAUGAUCAGCCACACUGGGACUGAGACACGGCCCAGACUCCUACGGGAGGCAGCAGUGGGGAAUCUUAGACAAUGGGGGCAACCCUGAUCUAGCCAUGCCGCGGGAGUGAUGAAGGCCUUAGGGUUGUAAAGCUCUUUCAGCUGGGAAGAUAAUGACGGUACCAGCAGAAGAAGCCCCGGCUAACUCCGU